rfam:Parcubacteria bacterium GW2011_GWB1_50_9 TY60_C0011, whole genome shotgun sequence.
GCGCUCGUCGUUCAACGGAUAGGACGCAAGCUUGCGGAGCUUGUAAUAGGGGUUCGAUUCCUCUCGAGCGCG